AUGCUUGAAUUACUGAGCAGUAUUCGAGGGAUCGUGCCUCCAUUGUUUUUGACCUACACUACAAGAGAGUGUGCUGAGAAAGCCAGGGAGGAGCUUGCUGACAGUGUCAGUCAUCAAAUGUUUGCCUCCGAAAGCUUGGGUCAGGCACGAAAGACAGGGUUGGAAGAUGGUUGCAACUUGCAACCAUGGGGUGAUGUGGGUUUGACGUCCAGGGUCUUGGCCAGACGGCCACAGCACAGCAGGGCUGUGAGCAGCCUCAGCCUGGCAUCAUGCAAAGACAAACAGCUAACAUUCGAGUUCUCCACCUCGCAUGUGUUUCACCGCAUGAUUCUGCAGUCACAAGCUGCAACUCAGCAGAGUGAAUAG
rnacentral:rRNA from 1 species